rnacentral:rRNA from 1 species
GAUGAACGCUGGCGGCGUGCCUAAUACAUGCAAGUCGAGCGAACAGACGAGGAGCUUGCUCCUCUGACGUUAGCGGCGGACGGGUGAGUAACACGUGGAUAACCUACCUAUAAGACUGGGAUAACUUCGGGAAACCGGAGCUAAUACCGGAUAAUAUAUUGAACCGCAUGGUUCAAUAGUGAAAGACGGUUUUGCUGUCACUUAUAAAUGGAUCCGCGCCGCAUUAGCUAGUUGGUAAGGUAACGGCUUACCAAGGCAACGAUGCGUAGCCGACCUGAGAGGGUGAUCGGCCACACUGGAACUGAGACACGGUCCAGACUCCUACGGGAGGCAGCAGUAGGGAAUCUUCCGCAGUGGGCGAAAGCCUGACGGAGCAACGCCGCGUGAGUGAUGAAGGUCUUCGGAUCGUAAAACUCUGUUAUUAGGGAAGAACAAAUGUGUAAGUAACUAUGCACGUCUUGACGGUACCUAAGCAGAAAGCCACGGCUAACUACGU